GGUAAGAGUGGCCGAGUAGGCAGCGAGCUGUAAAUUCGUUCACAGGGGGCCGGCCCCCUC
rnacentral:tRNA from 1 species